UUUGAGAGUUUGAUCCUGGCUCAGGAUGAACGCUAGCGGUAUGCUUAACACAUGCAAGUCGUACGAGAGUUUUAACUCUAGUGGCGGACGGGUGAGUAACACGUGAGAAUCUGCCUUUAGGAAAGGGACAACAUUUGGAAACGAAUGCUAAUACCUUAUAUG
rnacentral:rRNA from 14 species